UUAUUAAUAAGCCCAAAGAUCCCCUUUUCUUUAACCCAACAAUCCCCUUUCUUUUUCCAAAAUAAGCGGGCCAGCCUGCCCAAUACCCACCAGCCUAUUACAUAACUCCACAUCUCCCUUGCCAAUACCCCUCAAUUUUUGCCUAUAAAUAGAGGCUGAGGAAGAGAGGGAAAGGAGGAGGAUUUUUGGGGGGAAAUUGGGGGUUCUGAAGGCACUUGUCUUUAACCUCACGCAACCAAAAAUUCUCGAAGAAACACCGGUUUGAAGUCGUCCAUUCAUCGUUCCCGUUCACUGUCCGAAAAAAGACCCAACUUGCAUCGAGUCAAACCUCAGAUCCAAGUCCCAAGGGGACUAAUUUCGCACUGGUAUACAAUUAUAUAUGGCUGGUAUACAUUGGAAGCAGCUGCUGCAUACUACUACACCGAGCAAAAUAAAAAAUGGAGGGAAAAUAAGCAAAUUUUCACGCUGAUAUACAGUAUAUAUACACAAAAACGUGGAGAAAAUAGCUUCAGUAUACAAGUGGCAUACACUUCAGAAAAUGGACUGAAGUCCAUAAUUCCAAGCCCAAAAAUGGGCAGCUAGCUUUGUUGUUGGGCCAAUUAAAGGCCCAAUUUAAUUCUUGUAUCAUAAGUUGUGUAUUUGUGUAAUUUUUAGUUGUUUUUUAUAGCUUGUAUUGUUUGUUUGUGUUAACUAACAUUUCUAAAUUAAUUAAUCUAGGUAAAUUACCUAAGA